GAAAAGAAAAGGGAAGGGAAGGGAAGGGAAGGGAAAUAGAAGUGUGAAUCAAUUGUUUUAAAGAUGGUAUAAUAAAAUCUGCAUGAGACUCAUAUUCUGCCUAACGUGGGCUCCACGGGAAUUUCAGGUUAAUAUCCUGAAUGACAAAUUGGAAAGGCCUAAAUAGACUAAAAUGUGUGUGAUUUUGAGUAUUGUAGUUGUUUUAUUCCUCUGGGACAGAUGGUGAGCUACAGGUUUUCCUGGUUACCGGCUGAAGGAAAUGCUGAUUUGGGGAAAAGAUGAUUAAGGUAUUUACACCUUCCAGAGUUCUAGGGAUCAGAUUUGAUAGAGGGAGACCCCCCCUGAGAACUAGAUUCCAGAGAAUCAAACAAAAAGGUUAUCUUGAUGAUACUAAAAUUUUGUUUUGAGAUUUAUAUAUUACAGAAUAUACAGCCUUGGUGAAUUUCAUCGUCAGACAUGCUGAACUGACCGGCCUGAACUCUUGAUGUCUUGGUUUUUCAUCUGGAUCCAGUCAGGACACAGACAUCAGGGACUAAUACAAUCAUUGGUGUGGCCUUCUUAAGGCCAACUAACUCGCCCAUUUCCCUACCCUUCCCCCUCCCUUCAAAAAUAUCUCAAUGCCCAUAUUCAGCUUGAAGAAGUUAUGAAGAGUCGUCGUUCCAGUUCCCUAAGCUUUGGGGCUGGGGGUGGUUAUUAUAGGUUGUCUUUGAUACUAAAAAUGUUGAAGUACAGGGCUUGGACUCAGGCCUUCUAUUGCUGUUAUUAUAAACAGAUCUGAGAUGCUUAAGCCUGUGAGUUAAGGGCCAAAGAGGAAAUUCAUGGCUCAGAGUUUAUUGUUAGGGGGUUUUCGGUUAUUUUAAUCAGAAAUGGCCGUGAGUAGUUAACAGAGAACAGUCCAGAUUACUUUACAUAGAUAGUUGGUUUUCAAAAAACGUCAGAAGUCCACAGAACGUGACAUUUAAUGUUAUUUAUUCACUUGUUGAGAGAAGUCUGCUAAUGACAGCUUUCCCUGUCUUGGAUUCAAAGAAGAAACUGAGCAUCUUUGAGUUACUUCAGUUGUGGCAAAACAACCACUAGGCAAGAAUUGCCUCAUUCAUCUACAGAUGUAAUACUGUCCAAAGAAAGGACACAAUUACAGGUUAGGACAGCUUGACUCUGCCGAGACAGAGUAGGCUAGUCCUUAAUAUUCCUGUUUCUUUACGUCAGGUGACCCUGGCCAGUAGGCUGAAGACCGAUGCUCCAACAUGCUGAAGCAAAGGACCGAGAGAACCGGAGGUCUCACCGCUACUAAGACAAGAGAAGUCUGCAAGGGUGACAAGAACUACUAAUGAUGAAAGAUGUCAGCAAGACUACAAGAAGGAAACACUAUCUGAGUCCAGGGGAAACACCACCCCAUGUCUAGCAUGGUAUACUGCUCCUUGGAGCUCCAUAGAAGACUCACAACCAUCUGUGAUGGGAUCCGAUGCCGAUGCCCUCUUCUGGUGUGUCUGAAGACAGCAACGGUGUACUCAUAUACAUAAAAU
rnacentral:lncRNA from 1 species